rnacentral:rRNA from 1 species
GUCGAGCGGACAGAAGGGAGCUUGCUCCCGGAUGUUAGCGGCGGACGGGUGAGUAACACGUGGGUAACCUGCCUGUAAGACUGGGAUAACUCCGGGAAACCGGAGCUAAUACCGGAUAGUUCCUUGAACCGCAUGGUUCAAGGAUGAAAGACGGUUUCGGCUGUCACUUACAGAUGGACCCGCGGCGCAUUAGCUAGUUGGUGAGGUAACGGCUCACCAAGGCGACGAUGCGUAGCCGACCUGAGAGGGUGAUCGGCCACACUGGGACUGAGACACGGCCCAGACUCCUACGGGAGGCAGCAGUAGGGAAUCUUCCGCAAUGGACGAAAGUCUGACGGAGCAACGCCGCGUGAGUGAUGAAGGUUUUCGGAUCGUAAAGCUCUGUUGUUAGGGAAGAACAAGUGCAAGAGUAACUGCUUGCACCUUGACGGUACCUAACCAGAAAGCCACGGCUAACUACGUGCCAGCAGCCGCGGUAAUACGUAGGUGGCAAGCGUUGUCCGGAAUUAUUGGGCGUAAAGGGCUCGCAGGCGGUUUCUUAAGUCUGAUGUGAAAGCCCCCGGCUCAACCGGGGAGGGUCAUUGGAAACUGGGAAACUUGAGUGCAGAAGAGGAGAGUGGAAUUCCACGUGUAGCGGUGAAAUGCGUAGAGAUGUGGAGGAACACCAGUGGCGAAGGCGACUCUCUGGUCUGUAACUGACGCUGAGGAGCGAAAGCGUGGGGAGCGAACAGGAUUAGAUACCCUGGUAGUCCACGCCGUAAACGAUGAGUGCUAAGUGUUAGGGGGUUUCCGCCCCUUAGUGCUGCAGCUAACGCAUUAAGCACUCCGCCUGGGGAGUACGGUCGCAAGACUGAAACUCAAAGGAAUUGACGGGGGCCCGCACAAGCGGUGGAGCAUGUGGUUUAAUUCGAAGCAACGCGAAGAACCUUACCAGGUCUUGACAUCCUCUGACAACCCUAGAGAUAGGGCUUUCCCUUCGGGGACAGAGUGACAGGUGGUGCAUGGUUGUCGUCAGCUCGUGUCGUGAGAUGUUGGGUUAAGUCCCGCAACAAGCGCAACCCUUGAUCUUAGUUGCCAGCAUUCAGUUGGGCACUCUAAGGUGACUGCCGGUGACAAACCGGAGGAA